GAUGAACGCUGGCGGCGUGCUUAACACAUGCAAGUCGAACGAAGCACUUAAGUUUGAUUCUUCGGAUGAAGACUUUUGUGACUGAGUGGCGGACGGGUGAGUAACGCGUGGGUAACCUGCCUCAUACAGGGGGAUAACAGUUAGAAAUGACUGCUAAUACCGCAUAAGACCACAGCACCGCAUGGUGCAGGGGUAAAACUCCGGUGGUAUGAGAUGGACCCGCGUCUGAUUAGCUAGUUGGUGGGGUAACGGCCUACCAAGGCGACGAUCAGUAGCCGACCUGAGAGGGUGACCGGCCACAUUGGGACUGAGACACGGCCCAA
rnacentral:rRNA from 1 species